UACGAAGGUGGCAAGCGUUGUUCGGAUUUACUGGGCGUACAGGGAGCGUAGGCGGUUGGAUAAGCCCUCCGUGAAAUCUCCAGGCUUAACCUGGAAAGUGCAGAGGGGACUGUUCAGCUAGAGGAUGGGAGAGGAGCGCGGAAUUCCCGGUGUAGCGGUGAAAUGCGUAGAGAUCGGGAGGAAGGCCGGUGGCGAAGGCGGCGCUCUGGAACAUUUCUGACGCUG
rnacentral:rRNA from 1 species